CAGAUACAAGUAGACGGGUCAUGGUUGUGAUUAUGACUGCUUGUGGAGUAACUGUUGGUGUGUUACUGGGGAUUGGACUUGUGUGGAAUCAACAGAGAGAAGAGAAAUGUGCUUCCAAGGGAGCAAAAGUUAGCAUCACAGAUGACUGUAAAUCUUUGGUCGAUUGUGAUGAAAGCUACAGUACUGUCAACUAUGAGUG